rnacentral:misc_RNA from 1 species
AACGGUCUAUACCUGCGGUACCUGCGGAGGGAUCAUUACUGAGUGAGGGCCCCUCGGGGUCCAACCUCCCACCCGUGUUUAACGAACCUUUGUUGCUUCGGCGGGCCCGCCUCACGGCCGCCGGGGGGCUCCUGCCCCCGGGCCCGCGCCCGCCGAAGCCCCCCCUUGAACGCUGUCUGAAGUUUGCAGUCUGAGAAACUAGCUAAAUUAGUUAAAACUUUUAACAACGGAUCUCUAGAU